GGAUAAUUAUAAAAAAAAUAAUGGUUUGGAAAUUAUCUUUAAGUGCAUGUGUGUGUGAUGAAAUUCCAGUAAUUCCCGUGGUCGCCGGCCUCACUCUGCCAACCUGGACCUGAAGUCACACUGCUCGCUCUCUCUCUCUCUCUCU